GGGCCUCUAGCUCAAUUGGUAGAGCUCCGGACUUUUAAUCCGUAGGUUGUGGGUUCGAGUCCCACGGGGCCUA
rnacentral:tRNA from 1 species